UGACACUCCCCUCUGCGCCGUUCACCAUAGGGUAUUGGUUUUGGGGAAGCCGGUGAGACUCCGGCACGGUCGCGCCACUGUAACCCGUUUGGUCAGCCUCAGGCUGAUCAGGCUGGAAGUCAGACCUCCGAAACAGUCUGUUUUCCA
rnacentral:ncRNA from 2 species